GAUGAACGCUGGCGGCGUGCCUAAUACAUGCAAGUCGAGCGAACGGACGAGAAGCUUGCUUUUCUGAUGUUAGCGGCGGACGGGUGAGUAACACGUGGAUAACCUACCUAUAAGACUGGGAUAACUUCGGGAAACCGGAGCUAAUACCGGAUAAUAUUUUGAACCGCAUGGUUCAAAAGUGAAAGACGGUCUUGCUGUCACUUAUAGAUGGAUCCGCGCUGCAUUAGCUAGUUGGUAAGGUAACGGCUUACCAAGGCAACGAUGCAUAGCCGACCUGAGAGGGUGAUCGGCCACACUGGAACUGAGACACGGACCAGACUCCUACGGGAGGCAGCAGUAGGGAAUCGUCCGCAAUGGGCGAAAGCCUGACGGAGCAACGCCGCGUGAGUGAUGAAGGUCUUCGGAUCGUAAAACUCUGUUAUUAGGGAAGAACAUAUGUGUAAGUAACUGUGCACAUCUUGACGGUACCUAAUCAGAAAGCCACGGCUAACUACGUG
rnacentral:rRNA from 1 species